GACCCAGUGGUGAAAGGAAUCCCACCUGCCCUGCAUAGGCUGAGCGUAUUGGCAUAUAAGCAGGAGAUCUCGGUUCGAUUCCGGGUUGGGUCG